GAAAAAAUGGGGGUGGUGGAGUGGAUGUUACUUUUUCCAAAACCACUUUAACAAGAAAACUUUAGAUGGUUUGCGAGAAUUUGCAGUUGUGGGUUCUUGGUGUUUCUUGCAAGCAAUUAGACAACUAGUGAAAAUUGUUGCUGUUUGUUUUCUAACAACGGGCCACAUCUUGUAUAGGGAGGCAGUGAGUGUGUCUGCACAGUCCUUGGAUUUGCUGCUGGGUACGUGUGGAUGUGCUUUCCAACAGGUGGGUUUGAUUCCGAAAAGAAAAACACGGACUUGUUUCAAUCUGAAAUUAAUUUGGCAGAGGAUUGAAACGGUUUUGGGAAAGUCUGUGUUUGAUCCCAAAGCCUCAUGUGUUUUGAUCCAAAGUUCAAGCCUCGCCGGGUAUGAAGUACCUAGGAGAGAAGUAGAGUGUAAAACCUUCCCCCCUCCGGAGUUGAUGGAAGCAGUGCCAGUGUGUGCACUUGCUGGGGAUGGGAUCCAGUGUUUUCUGCUGUCUGACUUGGAGCCUGUUUUCACUGCAGUGACAGGAAAGGGGUUUAAGGGAAAAAAACCCCAAGCAUGAAACAACCCCUUUUCAGUUGACUUCAACAAGGGGGCUGUGCUGGUUCCUUUCCUUGGGACUCUCUACAGGGGAUGUGUUGGUGGGAAGCGCACUGAGCUUUCCAUCCGAGGGAUCAGCUGAAAUCCAUCUGGGUUUGUAUAGUUUGGUUUUGUGGUUGAGUUCUCCUGCUACAGAACAGAUUUCCUUUUUCGACAUCACCUCACUUGAGUUGUGAUUUGUUUUAUCCUUCCUGUCGCGUUCGCCUUGGCGGCGUGACCCCGCAGCCGCUGCCUGCCGUGCGAGCCCGUGCCGGGGAGGGAGGCGUUGCCAUUGUUCGUGUCCCUGCGGCUGCGGCCGCCUGCGCUUCGCGGGAUGUCACCGGCCCUGUGACCGCGGGACUGCGGUGUCACCGGGAUGGGCGCUGCAGGGAAGGGCUGUUUCCUCCAGGCCCCGAGAAACGGGGGGCACUGACACUGCAAAACAUCGUGCACACAGCGCUGGCGAGGCUUCACCUGUAUCCCGUUUCCAGGGGCAGCGUUCUCGCUGCGGUUGUGCCGUGGCUGUUGUGACAGUGGCAGUCUCCAAGCCAGGCACGGGACUUCUUUUGCUGGCAUUUCUGUUUCUCUUCUAGUGCGUGAAGCUGAAGGAGAAACUGUUCAGACUUGGUUCUGGUUUUGUCUCUCCUGUUUUCCCGAGCUUUUUCCUUUUUUAAUGUUUAGGUUUUUGGGUUUUUUUGUGCCUUCAAGUCCAAAGUGAAGUAGAAUGGGCUCAUUUUCGGGCAUAUCCCCCUCUUUUGCAGCAGACUUUCUCCUGGCAGCUGUAGCAGGUUUGAUCUGCUGUGGGGGCCUCAUGGGGAUGGGUGACUGCUGGUGGUACAUGAGACACUUCAGAAUGGUGCAAGUAAGAAUUAGAAAAUAUUUGGCAGUCUGCCUUUCCCUGGGGAUGAAGGGUGAUGAUUUUCCCUGCAUGCAGCCUGGUUUGGAGAUGGAGACAGCUUCUGUGGGACAACACAGGUGUCUCUGCACUGGGGGCACUCAGUUUGUGAAGUGUUGGGGUGGGCUGUGGCAUACAGGGCAUCUCUCCUGUGUGCCCACUGUGGUCCUGGGCCAGUUACUUCAUCUGUUCUGGCAUCCUCAUGGCCCAUCUUUAGCCAAACUUGGAGAUGCUCCUCUCUUUCAAAGAUCUUUCAUGGAGUUCUUGAGGACAGGUCGUUAAUAUUAAAGGUGUGUUAAUGAAAUGUGAGCAUCCCCAAGACAUCCCCGGUCUCAUUUCCUGCUCGGGUGUUUGAACCAUGUUCCUGUUGGAGUUGGGAUGGCUUAGCGCCUUGUUAAAUGUAAGACUUCGGGAAAUUAAACAGUUAAAAUGGUGCUGGGAUGGCAGAACUUGGUGGAGCAAGCCUUGGAUUCAGAAGCAAU